GGGGGAGUAAACAGGAUUAGAUACCCUGGUAAUCCACGCUGUAAACGAUGUCAACUGGGUGUCGGUAGCUUUACGCUAUCGGUGCCGAAGCAAACGCGGUUAAGUUGACCGCCUGGGGACUACGGGCCGCAAGGGCUAAAACUCAAAGGAAUUGACGGGGGGCCCGCACAAGCAGCGGAGCGUGUGGGUUUAAUUGGAUGCAACACGAAGAACCUUACCCAGGUUUGACAUGUCGUAGUAGUGAACCGAAAGGGGGAACGAGCCUUCGGGCAGCGAUCACAGGUGCUGCAUGGCUGUCGUCAGCUCGUGUCGUGAGAUGUUGGUUAAGUCCCGCAACGAGCGCAACCCCUGUUGCCAGUUACAUGUGUCUGGCGAGACUGCCGAUAUCAAGCCGGAGGAAGGUGGGGAUGACGUCAAGUCAGCAUGGCCUUUAUAUCUGGGCUACACACACGCUACAAUGGUCGGUACAAUGCGUUGCCAAGCCGCGAGGCGGAGCUAAUCGCAUCAAAACCGAUCUCAGUUCGGAUUGGAGGCUGCAACCCGCCUCCAGGAAGUCGGAGUUGCUAGUAAACGCCGGUCAGCUAUACGGCGUUGAAUACGUUCCCGGGCCUUGUACACACCGCCCGUCACGUCAUGGGAGCUGGUAACACCUGAAGCCGGUGUGCUAACCGCAAGGAGGUAGCUGUCGAGGGUGGGACUGGUGACUGGGACGAAGUCGUAACAAGGUA
rnacentral:rRNA from 1 species